UCAUUAGUCAGUACAGCCGCCCCUCUUGCCUCGUCUCUCCACCCUCUUCUCUCUUCACACCCUCUUCUCUAGACUCUAGUUAUCCUCGUCUCUGUGACAGUCUUCACUCUUCACCUCUGUUUUUGUUCACUCUUCGCCUCUCAAUCCAUCACCUCUCAAUCCAUUGUUGACCAGAUUCGAAGCAACGGCGACCUCUUCGUGUGUAUCUACCUCUUUUCCGUGAUGGAUCUUCUUAUUCUGGAAGACGACGCCGCCGACGGCCAUCCCGUGGCUGAACUGUAACUGUGUGGCUUCGGGCUCCACUGUGUACGCCAUCACGGAGGGUUCUCGUAUCUGUUCGGUGAACGCCGCCGAUCUCUUAGGUUGCUGGAGUGCGAUUCAGGCCAGUGCUAGUAAACCUUCAGUUUAUUUUCCUUCAAGAUAGGGAAUCCAUUGCCCUAACCCUUCCCAAGAUGUAAAGUUAAAGUUUUUCAUUGGAAAAUAGACCCAAAUGAAACUCUAUCUCGGAUUGAGGAGGUAUCAGUCCUCUCUCUAGUCUCUACCCUGCCCAAGGAUAAUGCCUCCUCAGUCAUCUGGUAUACUUGUUGGGGAGAAAGCUCGACGUGAAGUGAGUGAUAUCGGAAAAAUAUUGAUUCUUUUUGAAUUCUAUGUAUGUGAUCACAAAAUGUGGGAUCUUGGUGUUCUGGGUUGCUGCUAACUUCUAAUGCACUAUAAAACUCAUAAGAUGGGGAACUUGUCAGCAAGGCAUAUCCAUGCAUGCCAAAUAUGGAGAGUAUCUGGUGAUCCAGAACCAAAUUACCCACCCCGCCCUAAUAUCAAAAAUUACUCUGGCAACCCUUGUUGCAAUUGCCUAGAGCACCACACUGAUUUUCCUUGUGAAUACUGCGGAAAUGAGUUCAGUACAAUUGAAGACAGAAAACUCAAUUACGAAAUGAUGUGGGAUGCUUGGAACGAGUGGAAGGACGAACAUGGAUACUGAAUAUAUAUAUAUAUAUAUAUAUAUAUGGUAAAUUGUGGUCUAGUCUUUUGGAUAUGAUUAUGUUGAUAUAGGAAGAAUAGUGGAAGUGGUAUGCCCUAAUCACAAUAGCUGGUCUAGUCUUUUGGAUAUGAUUCUACCUUGUUGAUAUUGGAAGCUUUUGCUCCAUAGCAUCUCACUAUUUGUCACUUAAUUUUGCGUAUGCCCCUUGACAAUUGUUAUCUUUGGCUAUUAUGGAAACCUUACUUGCCAAAAAGAAAUCCUUUUUAACAGGAUUAUAUUUUAA